rnacentral:rRNA from 1 species
CCAUGCCGCGUGUGUGAGAAGGCCUUCCGGGUUGUAAAGCACUUUCAGCGGGGAGGAAACGCCGGAGGUUAAUACCCUCAUGGCUUGACGUUACCCGCAGAAGAAGCACCGGCCAACUCCGUGCCAGCAGCCGCGGUA